rnacentral:rRNA from 1 species
AGAGUUUGAUCCUGGCUCAGAACGAACGCUGGCGGCAGGCUUAACACAUGCAAGUCGAACGCGUGUAGCAAUACACGAGUGGCGCACGGGUGAGUAACGCGUGGAUAUCUGCCUUUUGGUUCGGAAUAACCCCGGGAAACUGGGGCUAAUACCGGAUGGUUCCUUCGGGAUAAAGAUUUAUCGCCAAAAGAUGAGUCCGCGUACGAUUAGCUAGUUGGUGGGGUAAAGGCUCACCAAGCCGACGAUCUGUAGCUGGUCUGAGAGGACGACCAGCCACACUGGGACUGAGACACGGCCCAGACUCCUACGGGAGGCAGCAGUGGGGAAUUUUGGACAAUGGGCGCAAGCCUGAUCCAGCCAUUCCGCGUGCAGGAUGAAGGCCCUCGGGUUGUAAACUGCUUUUGUACGGAACGAAACGGCCUCUUCUAAUACAGGGGGCUAAUGACGGUACCGUAAGAAUAAGCACCGGCUAACUGCGUGCCAGCAGCCGCGGUAAUACGUAGGGUGCAAGCGUUAAUCGGAAUUACUGGGCGUAAAGCGUGCGCAGGCGGUUAUGUAAGACAGGUGUGAAAUCCCCGGGCUUAACCUGGGAACUGCAUUUGUGACUGCAUAGCUAGAGUACGGUAGAGGGGGAUGGAAUUCCGCGUGUAGCAGUGAAAUGCGUAGAUAUGCGGAGGAACACCGAUGGCGAAGGCAAUCCCCUGGACCUGUACUGACGCUCAUGCACGAAAGCGUGGGGAGCAAACAGGAUUAGAUACCCUGUAGUCCACGCCCUAAACGAUGUCAACUGGUUGUUGGGUCUUCACUGACUCAGUAACGAAGCUAACGCGUGAAGUUGACCGCCUGGGAGUACGGCCGCAAGGUUGAAACUUAAGGAAUUGACGG